UACGUAGGUGGCAAGCGUUGUCCGGAUUUACUGGGUGUAAAGGGAGCGCAGGCGGGGAAGCAAGUCAGUUGUGAAAACUAUGGGCUUAACUCAUAGAUUGCAGUUGAAACUGUUUCUCUUGAGUGGAGUAGAGGUAAGCGGAAUUCCGAGUGUAACGGUGAAAUGUGUAGAGAUUCGGAGGAACACCAGUGGCGAAGGCGGCUUACUGGGCUCUAACUGACGCUGAGGCUCGAAAGUGUGGGGAG
rnacentral:rRNA from 1 species